CCUACGGGGGGCAGCAGUGGGGAAUCUUGCGCAAUGGGCGAAAGCCUGACGCAGCGACGCCGCGUGCGGGAAGAAGGUCUUCGGAUUGUAAACCGCUUUCAGGAGGGAAGAAGCGAAAGUGACGGUACCUCCAGAAGAAGCCCCGGCCAACUACGUGCCAGCAGCCGCGGUAAUACGUAGGGGGCAAGCGUUGUCCGGAAUUAUUGGGCGUAAAGAGCUCGUAGGCGGCCCGCUAAGUCGGAUGUGAAAUCUCACGGCUCAACCGUGAAACUGCAUCCGAUACUGGCGGGCUUGAGGCAGGUAGGGGAAGGUGGAAUUCCUGGUGUAGCGGUGAAAUGCGCAGAUAUCAGGAGGAACACCGGUGGCGAAGGCGGCCUUCUGGGCCUGUACUGACGCUGAGGAGCGAAAGCGUGGGGAGCGAACAGGAUUAGAUACCCUU
rnacentral:rRNA from 1 species